GCUUAACACAUGCAAGUCGAGCGGUAACAGGUGUAGCAAUACAUGCUGACGAGCGGCGAACGGGUGAGUAAUGCUUCGGAGUCUUCCUCGUAGUGGGGAAUAACCUGGGGAAACUCAGGCUAAUACCGCAUACGCCCCAUGGGGGAAAGCGGGGGACCUUCGGGCCUCGCGCUAUCAGAUGAGCCUGCGUCGGAUUAGCUAGUUGGUGGGGUAAUGGCCCACCAAGGCGACGAUCCGUAGCUGGUCUGAGAGGAUGAUCAGCCACACUGGGACUGAGACACGGCCCAGACUCCUACGGGAGGCAGCAGUGGGGAAUAUUGGACAAUGGGGGCAACCCUGAUCCAGCCAUACCGCGUGUGUGAAGAAGGCCUUCGGGUUGUAAAGCACUUUCAGUGGGGAGGAAAAGGCUCCGGCUAAUAUCCGGGGCCCGUGACGCUACCCACAGAAGAAGCACCGGCAAACUCCGUGCCAGCAGCCGCGGUAAUAC
rnacentral:rRNA from 1 species